GGCUGGUCUGAGUGCAGUGGUAUUUACAACUAGUUGAUUACAACCAGUUACAGAUUUCCUUGUUUCUUCUCCACUCUUACUGCUUCGCUUGACUAGCCUUAA
ensembl:misc_RNA Y_RNA Y RNA